rnacentral:rRNA from 1 species
CACGUAGGGGGCGAGCGUUGUCCGGAUUUAUUGGGCGUAAAGAGCUCGUAGGUGGCUCGGUAAGUCGGGUGUGAAAUUUCGAGGCUCAACCUCGAAACGCCACCUGAUACUGCUGUGGCUAGAGUCCGGUAGGGGAGCGUGGAAUUCCUGGUGUAGCGGUGAAAUGCGUAGAGAUGUGGAGGAAUACCGAUGGCGAAGGCAGCCCCCUGGGCCAAUACUGACGCUCAUGCACGAAAGCGUGGGGAGCAAACAGG